rnacentral:rRNA from 1 species
AGGACGGAACGCUAGGCGGCGUGCGUUAACACAGUGCAAGUCGAGCGGUGACGCACCUUCGGGUGCUGAUCAGCGGCGAACGGGUGAGUAACACGUGGGCAACCUGCCCCCUAACACUGGGAUAACCUCGGGAAACCGGGGCUAAUACCGGAUAUGACUUCGAGCGGCAUCGCUUGAAGUGCAAAGCUCCGACGGUUAGGGAUGGGCCCGCGGCCUAUCAGCUUGUUGGUGGGGUAAUGGCCUACCAAGGCGACGACGGGUAGCCGGCCUGAGAGGGCGACCGGCCACACUGGGACUGAGACACGGCCCAGACUCCUACGGGAGGCAGCAGUGGGGAAUAUUGCGCAAUGGGCGAAAGCCUGACGCAGCGACGCCGCGUGCGGGAUGAAGGCCUUCGGGUUGUAAACCGCUUUCAGCAGGGACGAAGCGAAAGUGACGGUACCUGCAGAGAAGCACCGGCUAACUACGCGCCAGCAGCCGCGGUAA